AGCCUCGAAGUGUUUAACAUAUUAGAUUGCAAAUCUAAAGUCGCACAUGAAAAGUGUGCCGGGGCUU
rnacentral:tRNA from 1 species